GCCAGAGGGAGAUUUUAGAGCCAGAGAUAAAUAUUCGACUGAAAGCAAAUCAUCUUUUGUAGUGGAAUGUGUAGUGGAAUUUGUAGUGGAUGUUAGCCAAGAUAUGUUAAGAAAUAUUGACAAUGGCGGAACGAGUACCAGUCGGUUGGGUGGCAUAUACUACUACUAUAUGUGAUACAAUCUGAGAGGUCAGCAGAGCUGUGGAACUACCUCCGGUGCAGCCAGAACGAC